rnacentral:rRNA from 1 species
ACGAACGCUGGCGGCGUGCCUAAUACAUGCAAGUCGAACGCAUUUUCUUUCACCGUAGCUUGCUACACCGAAAGAAAAUGAGUGGCGAACGGGUGAGUAACACGUGGGUAACCUGCCCAUCAGCGGGGGAUAACACUUGGAAACAGGUGCUAAUACCGCAUAAUUCCAUUUACCGCAUGGUAGAUGGAUGAAAGGCGCUUUUGCGUCACUGAUGGAUGGACCCGCGGUGCAUUAGCUAGUUGGUGGGGUAACGGCCUACCAAGGCUGCGAUGCAUAGCCGACCUGAGAGGGUGAUCGGCCACACUGGGACUGAGACACGGCCCAGACUCCUACGGGAGGCAGCAGUAGGGAAUCUUCGGCAAUGGACGCAAGUCUGACCGAGCAACGCCGCGUGAGUGAAGAAGGUUUUMGGAUCGUAAA